AGCGUACACGGUGGAUGCCCUGGCAGUCAGAGGCGAUGAAGGACGUGCUAAUCUGCGAUAAGCGUCGGUGAGGUGAUAUGAACCGUUAUAACCGGCGAUUUCCGAAUGGGGAAACCCAGUGUGUUUCGACACACUAUCAUUAACUGAAUCCAUAGGUUAAUGAGGCGAACCGGGGGAACUGAAACAUCUAAGUACCCCGAGGAAAAGAAAUCAACCGAGAUUCCCCCAGUAGCGGCGAGCGAACGGGGAGGAGCCCAGAGCCUGAAUCAGUGUGUGUGUUAGUGGAAGCGUCUGGAAAGGCGCGCGAUACAGGGUGACAGCCCCGUACACAAAAAUGCACAUAUUGUGAGCUCGAUGAGUAGGGCGGGACACGUGGUAUCCUGUCUGAAUAUGGGGGGACCAUCCUCCAAGGCUAAAUACUCCUGACUGACCGAUAGUGAACCAGUACCGUGAGGGAAAGGCGAAAAGAACCCCGGCGAGGGGAGUGAAAAAGAACCUGAAACCGUGUACGUACAAGCAGUGGGAGCCUCUUAAUGGGGUGACUGCGUACCUUUUGUAUAAUGGGUCAGCGACUUAUAUUCUGUAGCAAGGUUAACCGAAUAGGGGAGCCGAAGGGAAACCGAGUCUUAACUGGGCGUUAAGUUGCAGGGUAUAGACCCGAAACCCGGUGAUCUAGCCAUGGGCAGGUUGAAGGUUGGGUAACACUAACUGGAGGACCGAACCGACUAAUGUUGAAAAAUUAGCGGAUGACUUGUGGCUGGGGGUGAAAGGCCAAUCAAACCGGGAGAUAGCUGGUUCUCCCCGAAAGCUAUUUAGGUAGCGCCUCGUGAAUUCAUCUCCGGGGGUAGAGCACUGUUUCGGCAAGGGGGUCAUCCCGACUUACCAACCCGAUGCAAACUGCGAAUACCGGAGAAUGUUAUCACGGGAGACACACGGCGGGUGCUAACGUCCGUCGUGAAGAGGGAAACAACCCAGACCGCCAGCUAAGGUCCCAAAGUCAUGGUUAAGUGGGAAACGAUGUGGGAAGGCCCAGACAGCCAGGAUGUUGGCUUAGAAGCAGCCAUCAUUUAAAGAAAGCGUAAUAGCUCACUGGUCGAGUCGGCCUGCGCGGAAGAUGUAACGGGGCUAAACCAUGCACCGAAGCUGCGGCAGCGACACUAUGUGUUGUUGGGUAGGGGAGCGUUCUGUAAGCCUGUGAAGGUGGCCUGUGAGGGUUGCUGGAGGUAUCAGAAGUGCGAAUGCUGACAUAAGUAACGAUAAAGCGGGUGAAAAGCCCGCUCGCCGGAAGACCAAGGGUUCCUGUCCAACGUUAAUCGGGGCAGGGUGAGUCGACCCCUAAGGCGAGGCCGAAAGGCGUAGUCGAUGGGAAACAGGUUAAUAUUCCUGUACUUGGUGUUACUGCGAAGGGGGGACGGAGAAGGCUAUGUUGGCCGGGCGACGGUUGUCCCGGUUUAAGCGUGUAGGCUGGUUUUCCAGGCAAAUCCGGAAAAUCAAGGCUGAGGCGUGAUGACGAGGCACUACGGUGCUGAAGCGACAAAUGCCCUGCUUCCAGGAAAAGCCUCUAAGCAUCAGGUAACAUCAAAUCGUACCCCAAACCGACACAGGUGGUCAGGUAGAGAAUACCAAGGCGCUUGAGAGAACUCGGGUGAAGGAACUAGGCAAAAUGGUGCCGUAACUUCGGGAGAAGGCACGCUGAUAUGUAGGUGAAGCGACUUGCUCGUGGAGCUGAAAUCAGUCGAAGAUACCAGCUGGCUGCAACUGUUUAUUAAAAACACAGCACUGUGCAAACACGAAAGUGGACGUAUACGGUGUGACGCCUGCCCGGUGCCGGAAGGUUAAUUGAUGGGGUUAGCGGCAACGCGAAGCUCUUGAUCGAAGCCCCGGUAAACGGCGGCCGUAACUAUAACGGUCCUAAGGUAGCGAAAUUCCUUGUCGGGUAAGUUCCGACCUGCACGAAUGGCGUAAUGAUGGCCAGGCUGUCUCCACCCGAGACUCAGUGAAAUUGAACUCGCUGUGAAGAUGCAGUGUACCCGCGGCAAGACGGAAAGACCCCGUGAACCUUUACUAUAGCUUGACACUGAACAUUGAGCCUUGAUGUGUAGGAUAGGUGGGAGGCUUUGAAGUGUGGACGCCAGUCUGCAUGGAGCCGACCUUGAAAUACCACCCUUUAAUGUUUGAUGUUCUAACGUGGGCCCGUAAUCCGGGUUGCGGACAGUGUCUGGUGGGUAGUUUGACUGGGGCGGUCUCCUCCUAAAGAGUAACGGAGGAGCACGAAGGUUGGCUAAUCCUGGUCGGACAUCAGGAGGUUAGUGCAAUGGCAUAAGCCAGCUUGACUGCGAGCGUGACGGCGCGAGCAGGUGCGAAAGCAGGUCAUAGUGAUCCGGUGGUUCUGAAUGGAAGGGCCAUCGCUCAACGGAUAAAAGGUACUCCGGGGAUAACAGGCUGAUACCGCCCAAGAGUUCAUAUCGACGGCGGUGUUUGGCACCUCGAUGUCGGCUCAUCACAUCCUGGGGCUGAAGUAGGUCCCAAGGGUAUGGCUGUUCGCCAUUUAAAGUGGUACGCGAGCUGGGUUUAGAACGUCGUGAGACAGUUCGGUCCCUAUCUGCCGUGGGCGCUGGAGAACUGAGGGGGGCUGCUCCUAGUACGAGAGGACCGGAGUGGACGCAUCACUGGUGUUCGGGUUGUCAUGCCAAUGGCACUGCCCGGUAGCUAAAUGCGGAAGAGAUAAGUGCUGAAAGCAUCUAAGCACGAAACUUGCCCCGAGAUGAGUUCU
rnacentral:rRNA from 2 species